AUCAUGACCUGAGCCGAGGUCGGCCGCUUAACCGACUGAGCCACCCAGGUGCCCCGUUAUUUUUAUAAAUAGAGACUACUUGUGUUUGGCUGUGGUGGGGAAAAAAAUCACAAGAGAAGACCCAGAAUAUAGCAGCCAUCUCUAAAUAUUUAAAGAACAAUUCUACAUGGCACUGGAGAAGAGAAAUCAGAGCGAUGCAACCAGUCUCUUCUCUAAGAAGAGAGAAAGUGAACGCACACUAAGGAAUACAGAAGUUAUAUACCUCCACCUACUGGAUAAACUACAUAAAGACACUUCCCACAUUAACCAUUUUCAUCUUGUGUUGCUAUCUGAACCAGAAAAGUGAUUCUGAAACACUGCUCCCUGCCGAAUAUAAUGAUCUUAGGUGAUAAGAAAUCCUCCCUCCUUGAGCACAAGGAUUCGCCCAGUUAUAAGAUCUUUGUGAUGGAUCACGAGCCAGAGGUACUUCUGCCUACUCCCCAUCCCUUAUCAUCUGCUCUGGACCAUUUCUGCAUUAUCACAGUCUACUAACUAAAACAACAAUUUCAUAAUUACCACAGAAGUUAAGAAAAUUCUUCAGAUCUAUUUGUAACCACUGAUACUCAUCAGCGGCAAAAGCAGCCCAAGGAGGUCCGGGUUGCUUCAGCCUGGCUUUCUCGGGUUUCCAGCUGUUCUCCCGCCCUGUGUGGUCAGUCCACUCCAGCACAGACGAUGCUGUUAUCUGCGCAUCGGCAAUCACCCCGGAUUCCAUCCCCAGUGUGCCGUAACAGCCUGAAACGACAGAGACAGUAAUGUGGUUUCCAGAAAUAAACUCAAAAAUAAACUCAAAACACUGUAUAAAUGUGCUCAUUGGAAACUUUCUAUUGUACAUGUAAUUAAUAUAUACUAUGCUAAUAACACACUGUAAUACAGAAAUUUCAAAAGUAGGCGAUGUUCUUGGUUCUAUGUCUUUGUGUCUUGUCAGGAAAUGGACAGACAUAUUUAUUCACAAGCAAUAGCCAUUAGUUUAGCAGCAAUGCAUUAUCCUCUUCCUGGGACACUGUCUUCAGACCAGUGGAUGACGCACUCCCUACUGCCUUCAGGUGUUUGCUCAGGUGUCACUUUCUCCACGAGGCCUUCCCUGACUCCACUUAAAACUCCAGACCAGUCCCUCCUGCACUGCCUAUCCUCUUUUCUUGACUUACUUUUCUACAUUUUCUAUAAUAUUAUAAAGAGUUAUUUAUAAUUUAUUUAUAAUUUAUUAUUUAUUUAUAAUUUAUCCACUGUUUCCUGUCAAUCUCUCAAUACCAGUAUUUAAGCACCAGGAAAGGAGGAUUUUGUCUAUUCUGCUCACUUUUGUUUCACUAGCACCAGAACAGUGCCUGAAAAAUCAAAGAUGCUCAUAAAUAUAUUCUGUUGAAUUAAUUACUUGUUCAGACAUAGUGAAAAAAUCACCUUUCCCAAGGAACUUCCCAAUAAUAUAAAACCUUCAGUUAUUCCAUCCAUUGUAUUAGUGUGACAUAUGAAAAAGUGCAAAAAAACAGCAAUUGGCAUACUGCAGGACAGUGUUUAAAAAAUAUUAACAAUUACACAAUUAUAGUAGGUUACAAAGUCCAUGAAAGGCUUACCACUUGUCUUAAAUGUAAAAAGACUUGUAGAUAAGUGUCCCCUGAAAGAGAGAAAGGUUUUUCUUGGUGACACUCAUAUAUUGACUUCCCCAUAUUUGUCUUAGUAAAACUUUUUCUUUUGUUUUUAUUUUACUAUACAAAGAACUAAGGAUAGUCUAUGGCCAUUAAACAACUGAUACUGUUCUCAGCCCUCCCCCCCACCAAAAAAAAGUCUGAUUUCAAAACAACUUCUGAAAUCAGAAUAACAACUUCUGAACUCAGCAUAAACAACUUUCUCUACAAGUAUCUAGUGCCUGUAUCACACAUGAAAUGUGCAAGUAUGCCCAUGUAACCUUUAAUAUGUACUUAUUUUAUUUAUCUUUCAUGGAAAUAAACGGAUUCCUCAAAC